rnacentral:rRNA from 1 species
CCUACGGGUGGCAGCAGUGAGGAAUAUUGGUCAAUGGACGAGAGUCUGAACCAGCCAAGUCGCGUGAAGGAUGACUGCCCUAUGGGUUGUAAACUUCUUUUAUAUGGGAAUAAAAUGUUCCACGUGUGGGAUUUUGUAUGUACCAUAUGAAUAAGGAUCGGCUAACUCCGUGCCAGCAGCCGCGGUAAUACGGAGGAUCCGAGCGUUAUCCGGAUUUAUUGGGUUUAAAGGGAGCGUAGGUGGAUUGUUAAGUCAGUUGUGAAAGUUUGCGGCUCAACCGUAAAAUUGCAGUUGAAACUGGCAGUCUUGAGUACAGUAGAGGUGGGCGGAAUUCGUGAUGUAGCGGUGAAAUGCUUAGAUAUCACGAAGAACUCCGAUUGCGAAGGCAGUUCACUGGACUGCAACUGACACUGAGGCUCGAAAGUGUGGGUAUCAAACAGGAUUAGAUACCCCUGUAGUC